rnacentral:rRNA from 1 species
CCAGACUCCUACGGGAGGCAGCAGUGGGGGAUAUUGCACAAUGGGGGAAACCCUGAUGCAGCGACGCCGCGUGUGGGAAGACGGUCCUCUGGAUUGUAAACCACUGUCCCCAGGGACGAAGAUGACGGUACCUGGGGAGGAAGCUCCGGCUAAAUACGUGCCAGCAGCCGCGGUAAUACGUAUGGUGCAAGCGUUAUCCGGAUUUACUGGGUGUAAAGGGAGCGCAGGCGGUUCUGCAAGUCUGAUGUGAAAGCCCGGGGCUCAACCGCGGGACUGCAUUGGAAACUGCGGGACUGGAGUGUCGGAGGGGUAAGCGGAAUUCCUGGUGUAGCGGUGAAAUGCGUAGAUAUCAGGAGGAACACCGGUGGCGAAGGCGGCUUACUGGACGAUGACUGACGCUGAGGCUCGAAAGCGUGGGGAGCAAACAGGAUUAGAUACCCUAGUACU